rnacentral:rRNA from 1 species
UGGGGAAUAUUGGACAAUGGGGGAAACCAUGAUCCAGCCAUGCCGCGUGUGUGAAGAAGGCCUUCGGGUUGUAAAGCACUUUAAGCGAGGAGGAAGGUUCGUUGGUUAAUAACCAGCGGAAUUGACGUUACUCGCAGAAUAAGCACCGGCUAACUCUGUGCCAGCAGCCGCGGUAAUACAGAGGGUGCAAGCGUUAAUCGGAAUUACUGGGCGUAAAGCGCGCGUAGGCGGUUGUGUAAGUUGGAGGUGAAAUCCCCGGGCUUAACCUGGGCACUGCCUUCAAAACUGCACGGCUAGAGUAUGGGAGAGGAAGGUAGAAUUCCAGGUGUAGCGGUGAAAUGCGUAGAGAUCUGGAGGAAUACCGAUGGCGAAGGCAGCCUUCUGGCCUAAUACUGACGCUGAGGUGCGAAAGCAUGGGGAGCAAACA